rnacentral:rRNA from 1 species
CCUACGGGAGGCAGCAGUAAGGAAUAUUGGUCAAUGGGCGCAAGCCUGAACCAGCCAUGCCGCGUGCAGGAAGACGGCCCUAUGGGUUGUAAACUGCUUUUGAACAAGAGAAAACCUCGGUACGUGUACCGAGCUGAUAGUAUUGUUAGAAUAAGCAUCGGCUAACUUCGUGCCAGCAGCCGCGGUAAGACGAAGGAUGCAAGCGUUAUCCGGAUUCAUUGGGUUUAAAGGGUGCGUAGGCGGCCUGAUAAGUCAGUGGUGAAAUCUCUCAGCUUAACUGAGAAACUGCCAUUGAUACUGUCGGGCUUGAGUACAGAUGAUGUGGGCGGAAUAUGACAUGUAGUGGUGAAAUACUUAGAUAUGUCAUAGAACACCGAUUGCGAAGGCAGCUCACAAAACUGUAAACUGACGCUGAGGCACGAAAGUGCGGGGAUCAAACAGGAUUAGAUACCCUGGUAGUCCGCACCGUAAACGAUGAUUACUCGUUGUUGGCAAUAUGACCGUCAGCGACCAAGCGAAAGCGANAAGUAAUCCACCUGGGGAGUACGCCGGCAACGGUGAAACCGUUAAAGGAAUUAGACGG